UAGCUAGUUGGUGGGGUAAGGGCCUACCAAGGCGACGAUCGGUAGCUGGUCUGAGAGGAUGACCAGCCACACUGGAACUGUGACACGGUCCAGACUCCUACGGGAGGCAGCAGUGGGGAAUAUUGGACAAUGGGGGCAACCCUGAUCCAGCAAUGCCGCGUGUGUGAAGAAGGCCUGAGGGUUGUAAAGCACUUUCAGUGGGGAGGAGUGUUGAUGGGUUAAGAGCUAAUUAACUGGACGUUACCCACGGAAGAAGCACCGGCUAACUCCGUGCCAGCAGCCGCGGUAAUACGGAGGGUGCGUGCGUUAAUCGGAAUUACUGGGCGUAAAGAGUGCGUAGGUGGUUGAAUAAGUUAUCUGUGAAAUCCCUGGGCUUAACCUGGGCAGGUCAGAUGAUACUGUUUAACUCGAGUAUGGGAGAGGGUAGUGGAAUUUCCGGUGUAGCGGUGAAAUGCGUAGAGAUCGGAAGGAACACCAGUGGCGAAGGCGGCUACCUGGCCUAAUACUGACACUGAGGCACGAAAGCGUGGGGAGCAAACAGGAUUAGAUACCCUGGUAGUCCACGCUGUAAACGAUGUCAACUAGCUGUUGGUUAUAUGAAAAUAAUUAGUGGCGC
rnacentral:rRNA from 1 species